CUUGACAUCCAGCGAACUUGGCAGAGAUGCCUUGGUGCCUUCGGGAACGCUGAGACAGGUGCUGCAUGGCUGUCGUCAGCUCGUGUUGUGAAAUGUUGGGUUAAGUCCGCAACGAGCGCAACCCUUAUCCUUUGUUGCCAGCGAUUCGGUCGGGAACUCAAAGGAGACUGCCGGUGAUAAACCGGAGGAAGGUGGGGAUGACGUCAAGUCAUCAUGGCCCUUACGGGUAGGGCUACACACGUGCUACAAUGGCGCAUACAAAGAGAAGCGACCUCGCGAGAGCAAGCGGACCUCAUAAAGUGCGUCGUAGUCCGGAUCGGAGUCUGCAACUCGACUCCGUGAAGUCGGAAUCGCUAGUAAUCGUGGAUCAGAAUGCCACGGUGAAUACGUUCCCGGGCCUUGUACACACCGCCCGUCACACCAUGGGAGUGGGUUGCAAAAGAAGUAGGUAGCUUAACCUUCGGGAGGGCGCUUACCACUUUGUGAUUCAUGACUGGGGUGAAGUCGUAACAAGGUAAGCGUAGCGAG
rnacentral:rRNA from 1 species